GGGGCCCUGGGGAGCGCGCUCUUCCCAGCGGCAGCUGGGGAGGCGCAUGCGUACUUGCGUCAUCGUUGGGUAGCAGCGGGGAGGCGUGGGAGGAUCUGAGGCCUGCGGUGGGCCUUGGUCCCUUCUCUCCCCGCCCCGAAGCCGCCUGCUCAACCUGAGGGCCACCGGCCUCUAUCCGUCGGUGCCGAUGCUCCUUGCUUCCCAGCCAGAGCGUCUCAUCUCUGGGCCCGGAGCCCCAGGCUCGUUCUCCUCAGCCCCUGCCGGCGGCGGCGCUCUUGCAGCCAUUCCUGUGAGGUCGUUUUUCGGAGCAGCCGGGCCGGCCGAGGAGUAAGUAGGCGCCAGAGUUCUAGCUCGGGCAUCUGCCUCGGGGCCCUGUCGCCGCCGCGCCCCGGAUCCUGCGUUGGUCCUGUCCGAUAAAGCGGAGGUCGGCCCUGCUUGCUGACGAGACCGUAAAAACCACGGCGCUUGGCGCCCUGCCGCCGCCACACCACACCAAAGUGUACCUGCCCGAGGCUGGCUUCGGGCGCGAGCUUGCAUUUGUGACUUUCUCUUACCGUCUUUGUUUGCUUCGUUUUAAGUAUUACUUCCAGAUAAGGGACACAUUCUCGAAAUACUUUGAAAACAGUUUUGAAUUUUGUUCCUCCCGUUGAAACGGAUUAAAUUUGGACCUUUCAAGCUACACUGUGCAAUCAUCAAUCUCAAUAAGCUCUUAAUAGGCUCAUUCUUCCGUAGGCUACAAACAAAAUAAAGAUCAUAACAUCCUGCGGAGGAAGCCAUUGGUCCAUGUAGAGUCGCCAGAUGUCAAUUAAGAGUAGAUCGCUUUUCAGAGAAUACUUAACGACUCUGGUUUAGACCUAGACUUGGAACUUUGAGGUGUUUGGAACACUGGGCAGAAUUUUCCUUUGUUACAAAACAAAGUUUAUGAGAACGUAAUUUGUUUUUGUUGUUUUUGUUGUUAGUAUUGAAGCAAUUUUGGUGCAAACCAAAGGAUAACAAAGCAAAACAAUGAAAAUCACCCAGAGUUCCAUUACCCACACUGAACCAACUUGAAUAUAUUGGUUUAUUUUGGCUUUUUUCCAUAUGAAAUGUUAAAUUUUCUUGUACUCACGUGUAGAAUAUGAUAGUUUGCUCUUUCAUGUAACAUGUCUCCCAAUUUUUACAUACAUAAUUCUAGUUUCAGUAAGCAUUUUUAUAACUACACUCUUUUUCCUUUGUUAUUGUAUGUCUAGGUUAUUUCAACUUUGCACUGUUGCUUGUAACUACUAUGUGAUGAGGCAGUAGCUAGAUUAGUAUUUAGAACGUGAGCAUUCAAGUCAGGCAGACCUGGGCUUCACAACUUACUGUGCAAUUUCAAAGAGUUUAACUUUUUUGAGCCUCAUUUUACACAGUAACAUGGGGAUAAUGGUUCUGAUUGCAUAGAAUUAUUAUGAGAGUAAGAUGAAAUAAUGAGUGGAAGUGCCUGCAGCAUGUAUUGUUAGUAAAUGCUGUAUUACUGCAGGCAAAUUUU
rnacentral:lncRNA from 1 species